rnacentral:rRNA from 1 species
CCUACGGGGGGCUGCAGUGGGGAAUAUUGGACAAUGGGGGGAACCCUGAUCCAGCCAUGCCGCGUGUGUGAAGAAGGCCCUCGGGUUGUAAAGCACUUUCAGUGAGGAAGAACGCCUGGUGGUUAAUACCCAUCAGGAAAGACAUCACUCACAGAAGAAGCACCGGCUAACUCCGUGCCAGCAGCCGCGGUAAUACGGAGGGUGCGAGCGUUAAUCGGAAUUACUGGCCGUAAAGCGCGCGUAGGUGGCUUGAUAAGCCGGUUGUGAAAGCCCCGGGCUCAACCUGGGAACGGCAUCCGGAACUGUCAAGCUAGAGUGCAGGAGAGGAAGGUAGAAUUCCCGGUGUAGCGGUGAAAUGCGUAGAGAUCGGGAGGAAUACCAGUGGCGAAGGCGGCCUUCUGGACUGACACUGACACUGAGGUGCGAAAGCGUGGGUAGCAAACAGGAUUAGAUACCCUAGUAGUC